AGCGAACGCUGGCGGCAGGCCUAACACAUGCAAGUCGAACGAACCUUUCGGGGUUAGUGGCGGACGGGUGAGUAACACGUGGGAACGUGCCUUUAGGUUCGGAAUAACUCAGGGAAACUUGUGCUAAUACCGAAUGUGCCCUUCGGGGGAAAGAUUAAUCGCCUUUAGAGCGGCCCGCGUCUGAUUAGCUAGUUGGUUGAGGUAAUGGCUCACCAAGGCGACGAUCAGUAGCUGGUCUGAGAGGAUGAUCAGCCACAUUGGGACUGAGACACGGCCCAAACUCCUACGGGAGGCAGCAGUGGGGAAUCUUGCGCAAUGGGCGAAAGCCUGACGCAGCCAUGCCGCGUGAAUGAUGAAGGUCUUAGGAUUGUAAAACUCUUUCACCGGGGACGAUAAUGACGGUACCCGGAGAAGAAGCCCCGGCUAACUUCGUG
rnacentral:rRNA from 1 species